AGAUAACGACUUCCAGAUGGAGCAAGACGUCUGCAAGAGGAAACGCAGCGACAGUUUAGUUGUAUGGCACCAAACACCUGUCGAUGUGAGUUAGGCUGGGGUUGACUCCAACUACAUCAGUGGAAACAGAAGAAGAGGAACAUGGCUGACAUGAUGGUGAACAAUGAGGAGAACCAUCAGAACAACAACUCAUCUCCUUCAGGAGGAAGCAGCUACCAGCAGAGAUGGCAAAGCUCCAAGGAGAGUUGAGGCAAACAAAAGAAAAAUAAAUGCUGUUUCCUCUCAAUGAA